GUACCCUGGCAUAUGUCCUACAUGUAAAGAAGGGUUAGUGGAAAACAGGGUUAAUACAUGGAACUUUGCUUUAUUUUCAACUUCACUGGAAAGUACUGACUACAUAAGUUAGCUAUAGCAUAAUUGUUGACCACAGCUAAUUUUGUUUAUCACAUAUGCUCCUUUCUUCACUGCCUACAGCUGCUGAGUUUCACUACUAAAAGGUCUUCAAGUACACACCUGUAUUCUUUGGCGCUUGAAAGUUGAUCCUUUAUGUGAUAUUAUACUUAUUGGACUUUUAUUCCUACUUCGAGACCAAUAUUGAAGCACCUUCAUUUUUGGAAGGACUGGGGACGAUAAUGAAUGACAGGCUUACUGAAAUCCUCUUGGAAUUAAUGCAGUAAAAUGCUUCCAUCUUUAUCCAGAGGUGAGUCAUAAUUUGAGACAAAUAAUAUAUUUAUAGAGUGAUCCUCUUUAUCAGAUAAAAAUAGUAAGCACAAUCUUUUUAAGAAAGGGAGGGGACCUUUCACGUUUAUUAGUUGUGUGUAUCCUUAUAGUUGAGCAGAAUAUCAUAAGUUCCUCUCUUAAAAUUUAAAGACCCCAGAAACUGUUCUCUCAUGAACUCAAAGAAUGAACUUUAGUGUGUAAAUAAUAGCCAGGGUAAUAGACAAGCCAAAUGGAAAAGAGAGUCAUGGGAGCCAAAAAGGUUCUAAAUGGGGAUGGGCUUUUGGCUUUGGAUACCUCGUAGGUGGGCACGAUGACCACGUGAAGGGACAGUGAGAGUGAUGAGCUUGAAUAGUUAUCUUGGACUUACGUUAGUAAAGUAAGAUUUAUUUAGUCACACAGCCGGAAAUCUAUUACUAUCUUCCAACACUUAGCCUAAAAGACUAUGGUUGUUUUUUUUUUUUUUUUUUUUUAGUAUUUAUUGAUCAUUCUUGGGUGUUUUUUGGAGAGGGGGAUUUGGCAGGGUCAUAGGACAAUAGUGGAGGGAAGGUCAGCAGAUAAACAUGUGAACAAGGGUCUCUGGUUUUCCUAGGCAGAGGACCCUGCAGCCUUCCGCAGUGUUUGUGUCCCUGGGUACUUGAGAUUAGGGAGUGGUGAUGACUCUUAACGAGCAUGCUGCCUUC
rnacentral:lncRNA from 1 species